AAUGAACGUUGGCGGCGUGGAUUAGGCAUGCAAGUCGAGCGUACCCAGCAAUGGGGAAGCGGCAAACGGGGUAGUAAUGCGUCGGUACGUGCCCUCGGGACGAGGAUAGCCACGGGAAACUGUGGGUAAUACUCGAUGAUCUCGCGAGAGCAAAGGUGUGACUCCGCCGGAGGAGCGGCUGACGUGGUAUUAGGUAGUUGGUAGGGUAAUGGCCUACCAAGCCUGGGAUGCCUAGGGGGUGUGAGAGCAUGGCCCCCACCAUUGGGACUGAGAAACUGCCCAGACACCUACGGUGGCUGCAGUCGAGGAUCUUCGGCAAUGGGCGCAAGCCUGACCGAGCGACGCCGCGUGCGGGAUGAAGGCCUUCGGUUGUAACCGACUGUCAGGGGGAGUGAAAGUCAUGGUGGGUACGUCCCAUCAUGUUGACAGAG
rnacentral:rRNA from 1 species